rnacentral:rRNA from 1 species
CUUCGGGGUGGAUUAGUGGCGAACGGGUGAGUAACACGUGGGCAAUCUGCCCUUCACUCUGGGACAAGCCCUGGAAACGGGGUCUAAUACCGGAUAACACCGGCUUCUGCAUGGAAGCUGGUUGAAAGCUCCGGCGGUGAAGGAUGAGCCCGCGGCCUAUCAGCUUGUUGGUGGGGUAAUGGCCUACCAAGGCGACGACGGGUAGCCGGCCUGAGAGGGCGACCGGCCACACUGGGACUGAGACACGGCCCAGACUCCUACGGGAGGCAGCAGUGGGGAAUAUUGCACAAUGGGCGAAAGCCUGAUGCAGCGACGCCGCGUGAGGGAUGACGGCCUUCGGGUUGUAAACCUCUUUCAGCAGGGAAGAAGCGAAAGUGACGGUACCUGCAGAAGAAGCGCCGGCUAACUACGUGCCAGCAGCCGCGGUAAUACGUAGGGCGCAAGCGUUGUCCGGAAUUAUUGGGCGUAAAGAGCUCGUAGGCGGCUUGUCACGUCGGGUGUGAAAGCCCGGGGCUUAACCCCGGGUCUGCAUCCGAUACGGGCAGGCUAGAGUGUGGUAGGGGAGAUCGGAAUUCCUGGUGUAGCGGUGAAAUGCGCAGAUAUCAGGAGGAACACCGGUGGCGAAGGCGGAUCUCUGGGCCAUUACUGACGCUGAGGAGCGAAAGCGUGGGGAGCGAACAGGAUUAGA